CGGAGGGUGCGAGCGUUAAUCGGAAUUACUGGGCGUAAAGCGCAUGCAGGCGGUCUGUUAAGCAAGAUGUGAAAGCCCGGGGCUCAACCUCGGAACAGCAUUUUGAACUGGCAGACUAGAGUCUUGUAGAGGGGGUAGAAUUUCAGGUGUAGCGGUGAAAUGCGUAGAGAUCUGAAGGAAUACCGGUGGCGAAGGCGGCCCCCUGGACAAAGACUGACGCUCAGAUGCGAAAGCGUGGGAGCAAACAGGAUU
rnacentral:rRNA from 1 species